AGUAUGCCCCGAAACUCUGGGGCCACACGCGGGCUGCAAUGGUAGCGACAAUGAGUUCCAAACUCGAAAGAGAGUGGCAAUCCCUAAACGCUACCACAGUUAUGACUGAGGGCUGUAACUCGCCCUCACGAAUAUGGAAUCCCUAGUAACUGCGUGUCAUUAUCGCGCGGUGAAUACGUCCCUGCUCCUUGCACACACCGCCCGUCGUUUCAUCGAAGUUUGCUUUUAGCGAGGUGAUGUUUAAUUGGCAUUAUCGAACUUGAGGUAAGUGACGAGGGAAAAGUCGUAACAAGGUGACCGUAGGGGAACCUGCGGUCGGAUCACCUCCU
rnacentral:rRNA from 1 species